CAUGGGGUGGAAUUAAAAGGCCACCGGGGUGGAAGGUGGAGGCUGAUGUCAAGAGAACUGGCAUGGGGUGGAAUUAAAAGGCCACAGGGGUGGAAGGUGGAGGCUGAUGUCAAGAGGAACUGGCAUGGGGUGGAAGGUGGAGGCUGAUGUCAAGAGGACUGGCAUGGGGUGGAAGUAAAAGGCCACAGGGGUGGAAGGUGGAGGCUGAUGUCAAGAGGACUGGCAUGGGGUGGAAUUAAAAGACCACAGGGGUGGAAGGUGGAGGCUGAUGUCAAGAGGACUGGCAUGGGGUGGAAGGUGGAGGCUGAUGUCAAGAGAACUGGCAUGGGGUGGAAUUAAAAGGCCACCGGGGUGGAAGGUGGAGGCUGAUGUCAAGAGAACUGGCAUGGGGUGGAAUUAGCUGGAGAAAAAUACCCAGAUCAGUGUGAUCUGGGUUUUGAGAAGGUGAGGUAAGAUUUGAAUGAGGGGAGGAGGAUCUUCUGACCACCCAGGUUUUUGGAGCCUGUUCUGGCACCGCAUUGAAGUUUGUCAAGUCUGUGUCAGUCCCACUUUACAAUACACAGACCUUAUACCAUGUGUCAGUCCCACUUUACAAUACACAGACCUUAUACCAUGUGUCAGUCCCACUUUACAAUACACAGACCUUAUACCAUAUGUGUCAGUCCCACUUUACAAUACACAGACCUUAUACCAUAUGUGUCAGUCCCACUUUACAAUACACAGACCUUAUACCAUAUAAACUGGAUGGUUUGAGCCCUGAAUUAUGAUUGGCUGAAAGCCAUGGUAAAUCAGACCUUAUACAAUAGGUAUGACAUAUAUUAAAUGAACUGCUCUAAUUACGUUGGUAACCAGUUUAUAACAGCAAUAAGGCUCCUCAGGGGUUUGUUCUAAAUGACCACUGUACCGCAGUUAAGAUCUGAGUCCAGGCACUGCCCUUACCUGUGGUAUAUUGGCCGUAUACCACACCCCCUAGAGUUGUGUGUAAAUAACUGGUAAUACACAUGUUAUUACAUUGAGUGUGUAUUUUCUGAAACGUCUUGGUUGGUGAACAACCAUUGAG